GCCCGUGUAGCUCAGUUGGUAGAACAUCAGAGUUUUAAUCUGAGGGUCGUAUGUUCAAGUCCCACGGUGGGCA
rnacentral:tRNA from 1 species